rnacentral:rRNA from 1 species
UUUCGAACGCUUGACCUCAAAUCAGGUAGGACUACCCGCUGAACUUAGCAAA